AUUAACGCUAGCGGCAGGCAUAAUACAUGCAAGUUGAACGGCAGCACAGGUAGCAAUACCGGGUGGCGAGUGGCGCACGGGUGCGUAACACGUAUGCAACCUACCCUAUACAGGCGAAUAACCUUUAGAAAUGAGGGCUAAUACGCCGUGGUAUUAUCUUGGGGCAUCUUGAGAUAAUUAAAGAUUUAUCGGUAUAGGAUGGGCAUGCGUCCCAUUAGUUGGUUGGUAGGGUAACGGCCUACCAAGGCGAUGAUGGGUAGGGG
rnacentral:rRNA from 1 species